rnacentral:rRNA from 1 species
AGAGUUUGAUCAUGGCUCAGAUUGAACGCUGGCGGCAGGCCUAACACAUGCAAGUCGAGCGGUAGAGAGAAGCUUGCUUCUCUUGAGAGCGGCGGACGGGUGAGUAAUGCCUAGGAAUCUGCCUGGUAGUGGGGGAUAACGUCCGGAAACGGACGCUAAUACCGCAUACGUCCUACGGGAGAAAGCAGGGGACCUUCGGGCCUUGCGCUAUCAGAUGAGCCUAGGUCGGAUUAGCUAGUUGGUGGGGUAAUGGCUCACCAAGGCGACGAUCCGUAACUGGUCUGAGAGGAUGAUCAGUCACACUGGAACUGAGACACGGUCCAGACUCCUACGGGAGGCAGCAGUGGGGAAUAUUGGACAAUGGGCGAAAGCCUGAUCCAGCCAUGCCGCGUGUGUGAAGAAGGUCUUCGGAUUGUAAAGCACUUUAAGUUGGGAGGAAGGGCAGUAAAUUAAUACUUUGCUGUUUUGACGUUACCGACAGAAUAAGCACCGGCUAACUCUGUGCCAGCAGCCGCGGUAAUACAGAGGGUGCAAGCGUUAAUCGGAAUUACUGGGCGUAAAGCGCGCGUAGGUGGUUCGUUAAGUUGGAUGUGAAAUCCCCGGGCUCAACCUGGGAACUGCAUUCAAAACUGACGAGCUAGAGUAUGGUAGAGGGUGGUGGAAUUUCCUGUGUAGCGGUGAAAUGCGUAGAUAUAGGAAGGAACACCAGUGGCGAAGGCGACCACCUGGACUGAUACUGACACUGAGGUGCGAAAGCGUGGGGAGCAAACAGGAUUAGAUACCCCGGUAGU